rnacentral:rRNA from 1 species
GUAACGCGUUGGUGACCUACCCCAAAGUGGGGGACAACAGUUCGAAAGAGCUGCUAAUACCCCAUAGUAUCGCGAGAGUUAAAGGUCUUGCGAUUAAAGGAUUUAUUCGCUUUGGGAGGGGCCUACGUCCCAUCAGCUAGUUGGUAAGGUAAUGGCUUACCAAGGCUAAGACGGGUAGGGGACCUGAGAGGGUGACCCCCCACACUGGUACUGAAACACGGACCAGACACCUACGGGUGGCAGCAGUAGGGAAUAUUGCGCAAUGGACGAAAGUCUGACGCAGCAACGCCGCGUGCACGAUGAAGGUCUUCGGAUUGUAAAGUGCUUUUAUGUGAGAAGAGAAAGGACGGUAUCACAUGAAUAAGGAUCGGCUAACUAAGUGCCAGCAGCCGCGGUAAUACUUAGGAUCCAAGCGUUAUCCGGAUUUACUGGGCGUAAAGCGCGUGCAGGUGGUUUGAUAAGUUGGAUGUGAAAACUCUCGGCUCAACCGAGAGCUGUCAUUCAAAACUAUCAAACUAGAGGACGGUAGAGGAAGGUGGAAUUCCAGGUGUAGUGGUGAAAUGCGUAGAUAUCUGGAGGAACACCGGUGGCGAAGGCGGCCUUCUGGCCCGCUCCUGACACUAAGACGCGAAAGCUAGGGUAGCGAACGGGAUUAGACACCCCGGUAGUCCUAGCCGUAAACGAUGUGAACUUGGUGUUGGUUGGGUAAAACCAAUCAGUGCCGAAGCUAACGCGAUAAGUUCACCGCCUGGGGACUACGGCCGCAAGGUUAAAACUCAAAGGAAUUGACGGGGGCCCGCACAAGCAGCGGAGCGUGUGGUUUAAUUCGAUGCUACGCGAAGAACCUUACCUGGGUUUGACAUAAUAGUGGUAGUGAAGCGAAAGCGGAACGACUCUUCGGAGAGCUAUUACAGGUGAUGCAUGGCUGUCGUCAGCUCGUGCCGUGAGGUGUCCGGUUAAGUCCGGUAACGAGCGCAACCCUUGCUGUAUGUUAUACGUGUCAUAC